AGUGAACGCUGGCGGUAGGCCUAACACAUGCAAGUCGAACGAGUGGCGCACGGGUGAGGAAUACAUCGGAAUCUACUCUGUCGUGGGGGAUAACGUAGGGAAACUUACGCUAAUACCACAUACGAGUGCAUGAGCCGAUGUCGGAUUAGCUAGUUUGCGGGGUAAAGGCACACCAAGGCGACGAUCCGUAGCUGGUCUGAGAGGAUGAUCAGCCACACUGGAACUGAGACACGGUCCAGACUCCUACGGGAGGCAGCAGUGGGGAAUAUUGGACAAUGGGCGCAAGCCUGAUGCAGCCAUGCCGCGUGUGUGAAGAAGGCCUUAGGGUUGUAAAGUCCUUUCAUUGGGGAAGCGUUACCCAAAGAAUAAGCACCGGCUAACUUCGUGCCAGCAGCCGCGGUAAUUC
rnacentral:rRNA from 1 species